rnacentral:rRNA from 1 species
UACGUGGGCGCAAGCGUUAUCCGGAAUUCUUGGGCGUAAAGAGCUCGUAGGCGGUUUGUCGCGUCUGCCGUGAAAGUCCGGGGCUCAACUCCGGAUCUGCGGUGGGUACGGGCAGACUAGAGUGAUGUAGGGGAGACUGGAAUUCCUGGUGUAGCGGUGAAAUGCGCAGAUAUCAGGAGGAACACCGAUGGCGAAGGCAGGUCUCUGGGCAUUAACUGACGCUGAGGAGCGAAAGCAUGGGGAGCGAACAGG